AUGCGUGAGUACAUCGACUUCUGGCAUCGAUCCAUGGUAGUUACACUCACAAAUGGUGGUGAUGAAUUCAUUUGGAAGUUGUCAGCCAAUGGAAGAUACACUGCAAAAUCAGCCUAUCAAUACCAAUUCAUGGGAAGAAUUGACUCCCCCCUUUCGAGUAUCAUCUGGCAGGUUAAGAUUCCUCCUAAGGUUCAGUUCUUUAGCUGGCUGUUUGUACAAGAUAAGUGUUUAACUGCAAAUAAUCUUGCUAAGCGUGGUUGGCCACAUGAUCCAACCUCCCAGUUAUGUCAUCUUGGGAUGGAAAAUGGCAUGCACCUUCUCUGUGAUUGCCCAUUCACUGCUGGAAUUUUGGGAUAA
rnacentral:rRNA from 1 species